AGUGAACGCUGGCGGUAGGCCUAACACAUGCAAGUCGAACGGCAGCACAGUAAGAGCUUGCUCUUACGGGUGGCGAGUGGCGGACGGGUGAGGAAUACAUCGGAAUCUACUUUUUCGUGGGGGAUAACGUAGGGAAACUUACGCUAAUACCGCAUACGACCUACGGGUGAAAGCAGGUGAUCUUCGGACCUUUCGCGAUUGAAUGAGCCGAUGUCGGAUUAGCUAGUUGGCGGGGUAAAGGCCCACCAAGGCGACGAUCCGUAGCUGGUCUGAGAGGAUGAUCAGCCACACUGGAACUGAGACACGGUCCAGACUCCUACGGGAGGCAGCAGUGGGGAAUAUUGGACAAUGGGCGCAAGCCUGAUCCAGCCAUACCGCGUGGGUGAAGAAGGCCUUCGGGUUGUAAAGCCCUUUUGUUGGGAAAGAAAAGCAGCAGGUUAAUACACCGCUGUUAUGACGGUACCCAAAGAAUAAGCACCGGCUAACUUCGUG
rnacentral:rRNA from 1 species